UACUGCCAAAGCAGCACAUUGAAAUCCAGGCUUUAGUUCAGGUCUACUUUGCACGCAUCAUUGGAUCGAUCCAUUUAACUAACUGUUCACGCGAAAUUUAUACGGGAAAUCAGAGUGUAACUUUCAAUAUUUACGCGUUGACUAAGGUGAACAUAAAACUGCAUGUUCUUACAAGUGGCAAUGAAGAUUGCAACCUGAUGUCCACCUCUCAGUCAUGUAACACUACUGAACACUGUGACCAGACAUAAUCAUCAAAGGAAGCUUUACGAAGGUGGCUUUGAACAGAAUCAGUGGGUGCUCAUUAAUAUGUUCAAAUUGGGGCUUCAAAGAAAAUACAUGGACGCACGCACAAGUUUAAUGAAAAUAAAUUCUGCUCACUGGAUAUUCUGAUGGGCAAAUAGUUGAAAGAUGAGGAGCAACUACAACCUCAGCAACUAAGAAAACAUUGACGGGGUGAAAUAACCACACACAAGGCUGGUAUCCUGUCACCAAAUCACCCUUUAUUUACUGGUGUACAGUACACUGCUCGGAAUCAGUUUCCUGAAUUGAGGAGAUUCCAAAUCUCCAAGUUUUUUUUUAUUCCCUUACUGCCAGACAGUGGAAGUGCUAUCUCCCGAUCAUAUUGGACAGCCAGGGAUUUCCUGAUUGGCCCAGGCUAACGACCCUAAUCAGGGAUCUUGUUGUCAACGAGAUUCAGCUGGUUCCAAUUAUUGAUAGGGUUUUUAAAACUUUUUUGUGUAUUUCUGAGGAGAAUUAAAGGAGAAACUGCUGAU